rnacentral:lncRNA from 1 species
AGACAUUGUUAGAAUUAUUGAAUGACACAUUGUAAGGACCAAAGAUUUUUAGGCAUGUUGUAGUGGUUCGGCAGGUCACCGACAGAAAGUUAGGCAGCCAUGCGCGGCAGUGAGAGAGUGAGGCCGUCGUGCGUGGCAGUGAGAGAGUGAAGCCACGGUGCGUGAAGCGAUCAACUGCCAUGAGAGAAGGGAUCAGCCGCCAUGUGUGAAGGGAUUAGCCGCCGUGCGUGAAGCGAUCAACCGUCCUGAGUGAAGGGAUCAGCCGUCGUGAGUGAAGCGAUCAACCACCGUGAGUGAAGCGAUCAACCGUCAUAAGUGAAGGGAUCAGUUGCCGUGUGUGAAGGGAUCAGCCGCCAU